rnacentral:rRNA from 1 species
GUAACGUUGAAGACGACGACGUUGAUAGGCCGGGUGUGUAAGCGCAGCGAUGCGUUGAGCUAACCGGUACUAAUGAACCGUGAGGCUUAACCUUAC